CCAGCAGCCGCGGUAAUACGUAGGUGGCGAGCGUUAUCCGGAUUUACUGGGCGUAAAGGGAGCGUAGGCGGAUGAUUAAGUGGGAUGUGAAAUACCCGGGCUCAACUUGGGUGCUGCAUUCCAAACUGGUUAUCUAGAGUGCAGGAGAGGAGAGUGGAAUUCCUAGUGUAGCGGUGAAAUGCGUAGAGAUUAGGAAGAACACCAGUGGCGAAGGCGACUCUCUGGACUGUAACUGACGCUGAGGCUCGAAAGCGUGGGGAGCAAACAGGAUUAGAUACCCUGGUA
rnacentral:rRNA from 1 species